rnacentral:rRNA from 1 species
UACGUAGGGGCCUAGCGUUGUCCGGAUUUAUUGGGCGUAAAGAGCUCGUAGGCGGUUCGGUAAGUCAGCUGUGAAAUCUCCACGCUUAACGUGGAGGGGUCAGCUGAUACUGCCGUGACUUGAGUCCGGUAGGGGAGUGCGGAAUUCCCGGUGUAGCGGUGAAAUGCGCAGAUAUCGGGAGGAACACCAGUGGCGAAGGCGGCACUCUGGGCCGGAACUGACGCUGAGGAGCGAAAGCGUGGGGAGCGAACAGG